rnacentral:rRNA from 1 species
UAGGGAAUCUUCGGCAAUGGGGGCAACCCUGACCGAGCAACGCCGCGUGAGUGAAGAAGGUUUUCGGAUCGUAAAGCUCUGUUGUAAGUCAAGAACGGGUGUGAGAGUGGAAAGUUCACACUGUGACGGUAGCUUACCAGAAAGGGACGGCUAACUACGUGCCAGCAGCCGCGGUAAUACGUAGGUCCCGAGCGUUGUCCGGAUUUAUUGGGCGUAAAGCGAGCGCAGGCGGUUUGAUAAGUCUGAAGUUAAAGGCUGUGGCUCAACCAUAGUUCGCUUUGGAAACUGUCAAACUUGAGUGCAGAAGGGGAGAGUGGAAUUCCAUGUGUAGCGGUGAAAUGCGUAGAUAUAUGGAGGAACACCGGUGGCGAAAGCGGCUCUCUGGUCUGUAACUGACGCUGAGGCUCGAAAGCGUGGGGAGCGAACAGGAUUAGAUACCCUGGUAGUCCACGCCGUAAACGAUGAGUGCUAGGUGUUGGAUCCUUUCCGGGAUUCAGUGCCGAAGCUAACGCAUUAAGCACUCCGCCUGGGGAGUACGACCGCAAGGUUGAAA